rnacentral:lncRNA from 1 species
ACACUGGGACGAGGAAACUGAGCUCCGGGCACAGCUCAGCCCGUGGGAAUUGCCCAACUGGGCUGUCGCAAUGGGCUAGGAGGCCAGGGUCGGCCCUGCCGCUGGCUGCCAGGACCAGGCCUCCUGGCCACCCUAAGCGCCUAGAAUCUGGGGACAAUAGCGGCCAAGCAGUUAACAUCUGCUCUGCGAUGGCGGUAAAAAGGAAAGCAAAAUUUCGAUCUAUUUUUCUGGGAAGAGAGUAAGAGAUUUGGGCUGUCCCGGCAGGACCCGAGCUUUGCAACACACCGGUGUUCCUUUAAGUCCAAAAGAGGGCCGAGAAACCAGCUGGCCCACAGUUCACAGAACAUCCCAGCAGGAACCCGUACCCCUGUGGAGACUGCUGAGAAACUGGAGCCUAUCCAGGCCACGGCCACGGCCGGGGAUCAGCCCCAACCUACGGAGCCCAUUAACAGUCGCUACCUGGUAAUUUCUAAAGCACCCGCUGGGUGGGUGCGUGGUCCACGGGGGGCCACAAAAGCCAAGGACACAAGUUCACUGCCUGCAAGGAGCUUGCCCGUGGGAGAUAAAGCUGGUAACGGGCUCGACACCCAGGCAGCCCUUCCGGGAGGCGGAGAUGGGCUCCAGAAAUGAACAGGAUUCAGAGGCUGCAUCCAAGGACGGAGAGACCAAAGUCCUGGUUGCACCAUUUGGCAGCGUGUCGCCUGACCUCCAGGAGCCUGGGUGUCUUUGUCUUUUAAAUGGGAUUCACAGAGACCCUACCUCUUAGGGUUAGCGUGAGGGCAGAGGGAAAUAAGGGGAGUUCCCGUGGUGGCUCAGCAAUAAUGAACUUGGCUAAUAUCCCUAAGGACGAGCGUUCAAUCCUUGGCCUUGCUCAGGGGGUUAAAGAUCUGGUGUUGCUGUGAGUUGUGGUGUGGGUCACAGACAUGGCUUGGAUCCUGUGUUGCUGUAGCUGUGGUGUAGGCUGGACGCCGUAGAUCUGAUUCGACCCCUAGCCUGGGAACUUCCAUAUGCCUUGGGCGUGACCCUAAAAAGGAAAAAAAAAAAAAAAAAAGGAAAUUCAGGAAAACAACAUGAAUGAACCUCAAAGACAUGACCCCAGUUGAAAGAGGGCAGGUGUGCAAAGUGGCACACGGAAUGGUUCUUUUCCUAGGAAGUGGCCAGAGCGUUAAGUAAAUCCCUAGAGAUGAGAAGCAGAUUAGUGGUUGCCAAGGGCCGGGGGAGGGGAAAGGGGUGUCUUUUUGGGGUGAUGACAAUAUGUUGGAACUAGAUAGGGGGUGAUUGCAUGGGAAUAGGUGAAAGGUCACGGGACAGUGCAUUUUAAAACGGUGCAUUUCGGAAUUCCCUGGUGGCCUAGCGAUUAAAAGAGGCAGAGUCCUUCAAUCCCCAGCCUGAGGUCGAGGCCAAAAACAUUAAAAUGAAAUCAAAUGGUUCAUUUUUUGGUAUGUGAAUGUCACCUCAAUUAAAAAAAUGUCUUGAAGGAAAUUUGUUUGCACAAACCUAGUGAAUGGGACACUCGCCAGGGCCAGACCCCAGACACUCUGCCUCCUGUCACCCUCCAGCCUGGGCUGAGUGAGCUGGGUCACCCUCUGUCCAGGCCUGGACACCCUCAGCCUGGCCGGUGGGGCCUAGCGGAGCCCAGACAUGGGGGCAGGGUGGGGGGCUGCCCCACACAGUUCGGGGAGAGGCCAGUGUCCCCAGGCUGCUGGGAGGACCAAGUUACAUCAGAGGUCGUGUGCGAGAUGCGUUACAAAGAGAGAGGGAUGAGCUCCAGGUGCACUGGCUGCACCUGCCAUGGAGCACCUGCCGUGGCGGGACGAGGGGAGCACGAGGGGAUGUGCGCAGCCAGGGAGCCCACAGGGGUCAAGGCAGAGUCCCCGCCUGGCCCAGACCCGGGGACAGUCAGCUCCUCUGCCCACCCCCACCCCCCUCCCUCUCCUGGCCUCCCUGGCUCCCCCUCAGAGUCCCAUCCUAAUCCUGCCAGGAGAGGGAGCCCAGGGCAGUGGGUCUCCGUCCUGUGUCCCCCCUGCAGGCAGCCAGGCCAGAGAGAGAGCUGUCCAGCCCGCAGCCACGGAGGAGGCGCCCGCCACCCAGCUGACAUGGGGGCGGGUCUCAGGCUUUCCCCACUGGGCCACCACUGCCAGGGCAGCCUCCUGGGCUUUGGGCCACCAGGCGGAAAGGAUAAAAAGAGGCCACAUGCCUCCUGCCACGUGGAGGCAUCCACGCACCAGGGGCAACACUGUCACACAGAACUCGGGUGCCAGAGGACCACGUGGGCAUUCAGCAGGGCGAGUUGGCAGGACCGACACCACUGCCUGUUGGGAUCCCAGGACUCGGGGAGGCCAUGCUGCCGAGGGUGCCCUAGCCGGCCCGGCCCAGGCUGGGAGCCACCAGUAUGAGACGCCACUUGACUGGCAAGAAACUCACCUUCCGAGGAACCUGCCAGUCUUCAAACUCAUAAAUGCCCUCCAGAGUUAGUGACCCCUGAACUACGGGCAGAUGUUAAGUGCCCAUAACCCUUUCCGGCUGGUGAUAACCCCGCGGCACUCUUGGCUUUUCUUGCGAUGGGUUUGCUGUUUUCUCCAAGGAGUGGGUUUCAUCAGAUCCGGGUGCCCAAGACCGUGGCAAGGACCCAGCCACGGAAGGAGGGGCUGGACGGCGGCUCACAGUCCCCUUGUGCAGCUCCAGCGCGGGGCAAAAUCCCGCACAGGCCUGCGGUGAGGCCUCGCAAACAAGCAGCAGCAUGAUCCUGCCGGCCAGCUCAGCCCCCAGCCUUGGCCCAGAGCGGCUCUGGCCGCCCCGCCUCUGGCUCCCCUCCUGCAGCCCAUGCCGACCGCCCGCCACCAGAGGCCUUGCCAGCCGCCGAGGCAGCCCCUUGCGUCCCGUCCCCAGAGCCCUCAGCAGCCCUGAAGUCAUUCUGCUCCAGGAUCUGCUCCGUGUUUAUGUCCUGCCUCGGUCUCCGGGGGGCCUGACGUGCUCCCUGCAGCUUGUCCCCAGCACCCAGCCCCCGCGGGAACAAGGACCCGAGACGGAAACGGCAAAAGCGCUGUGAGCAAGACACCUGCCCGCGGAUCCCAGCCCCGCUGCCAGCUAUCUUUCUCCAUCGCUUGGCCGGCCCGAGGAUCUCAAGAAUGGAAAGGGGUUUAGGGGGUCUGGAGACCACCCCACCACCCAAGAAAGGAGCCCGAGGUUAACUCCCACGUUCUCAGGAGAGCCGCCGACGUGUUGAUGCAAGCGCCAAAUAAUCGAAUUGCAGGUGGGGGUGGGGAGGAGAUAAUUGAAUAUCAGCGAGGGGCUGUUGUCAGGUCAGCCAGUUCCUGGCGUGUUCUCGUAUGUAUGUUUUCUGAGAGAGCCCCCAAAUAAAACAGUUCUAUUAUUUUAUGCC